CUACGGGGUGCAGCAGUGGGGAAUAUUGCACAAUGGGCGCAAGCCUGAUGCAGCCAUGCCGCGUGUAUGAAGAAGGCCUUCGGGUUGUAAAGUACUUUCAGCGGGGAGGAAGGGAGUAAAGUUAAUACCUUUGCUCAUUGAUGUUACCCGCAGAAGAAGCACCGGCUAACUCCGUGCCAGCGGCCGCGGUAAUACGGAGGGUGCAAGCGUUAAUCGGAAUUACUGGGCGUAAAGCGCACGCAGGCGGUUUGUUAAGUCAGAUGUGAAAUCCCCGGGCUCAACCUGGGAACUGCAUCUGAUACUGGCAAGCUUGAGUCUCGUAGAGGGGGGUAGAAUUCCAGGUGUAGCGGUGAAAUGCGUAGAGAUCUGGAGGAAUACCGGUGGCGAAGGCGGCCCCCUGGACGAAGACUGACGCUCAGGUGCGAAAGCGUGGGGAGCAAACAGGAUUAGAUACCCUAGUAGUC
rnacentral:rRNA from 1 species